AGUGAACGCUGGCGGUAGGCCUAACACAUGCAAGUCGAACGGCAGCACAGUAAGAGCUUGCUCUUACGGGUGGCGAGUGGCGGACGGGGGAGGAAUACAUCGGAAUCUACCUUUUCGUGGGGGAUAACGUAGGGAAACUUACGCUAAUACCGCAUACGACCUACGGGUGAAAGCAGGGGAUCUUCGGACCUUGCGCGAUUGAAUGAGCCGAUGUCGGAUUAGCUAGUUGGCGGGGUAAAGGCCCACCAAGGCGACGGUCCGUAGCUGGUCUGAGAGGAUGAUCAGCCACACUGGAACUGAGACACGGUCCAGACUCCUGCGGGAGGCAGCAGUGGGGAAUAUUGGACGAUGGGCGCAAGCCUGAUCCAGCCAUACCGCGUGGGUGAAGAAGGCCUUCGGGUUGUAAAGCCCUUUUGUUGGGAAAGAAAAGCAGCAGGUUAAUACCCCGCUGUUCUGACGGUACCCAAAGAAUAAGCACCGGCUAACUUCGUG
rnacentral:rRNA from 1 species